GAUGAACGCUGGCGGCGUGCCUAAUACAUGCAAGUCGAGCGAACGGACGAGAAGCUUGCUUCUCUGAUGUUAGCGGCGGACGGGUGAGUAACACGUGGAUAACCUACCUAUAAGACUGGGAUAACUUCGGGAAACCGGAGCUAAUACCGGAUGAUAUUUUGAACCGCAUGGUUCAAAAGUGAAAGACGGUCUUGCUGUCACUUAUAGAUGGAUCCGCGCUGCAUUAGCUAGUUGGUAAGGUAACGGCUUACCAAGGCAACGAUGCAUAGCCGACCUGAGAGGGUGAUCGGCCACACUGGAACUGAGACACGGUCCAGACUCCUACGGGAGGCAGCAGUAGGGAAUCUUCCGCAAUGGGCGAAAGCCUGACGGAGCAACGCCGCGUGAGUGAUGAAGGUCUUCGGAUCGUAAAACUCUGUUAUUAGGGAAGAACAUAUGCGUAAGUAACUGUGCACAUCUUGACUGUACCUAAUCAGAAAGCCACGGCUAACUACGUG
rnacentral:rRNA from 1 species